rnacentral:tRNA from 1 species
GCCAUAGGUGGAUAGCUCAGUUGGUUAGAUAGUGGUGCUGAUAAUGCUAAGGUUGCAGGUUCGAUCCCUGGAUGGGGCA